GAUGAACGCUAGCUACAGGCUUAACACAUGCAAGUCGAGGGGAAACGACAUCGCAAGCUUGCUUUUGAUGGGCGUCGACCGGCGCACGGGUGAGUAACGCGUAUCCAACCUGCCCACCACUUGGGGAUAACCUUGCGAAAGUAAGACUAAUACCCAAUGACGUCUCUAGAAGACAUCUGAAAGAGAUUAAAGAUUUAUCGGUGAUGGAUGGGGAUGCGUCUGAUUAGCUUGUUGGCGGGGUAACGGCCCACCAAGGCGACGAUCAGUAGGGGUUCUGAGAGGAAGGUCCCCCACAUUGGAACUGAGACACGGUCCAAACUCCUACGGGAGGCAGCAGUGAGGAAUAUUGGUCAAUGGACGAGAGUCUGAACCAGCCAAGUAGCGUGCAGGAGGACGGCCCUAUGGGUUGUAAACUGCUUUUAUAAGGGAAUAAAGUGAGUCUCGGGAGACUUUUUGCAUGUACCUUAUGAAUAAGGACCGGCUAAUUCCGUG
rnacentral:rRNA from 1 species